rnacentral:rRNA from 1 species
CUUUCGCGCCAAAGCGGACUUUUNAUUCAACAUCGAGGUCAUCAACUCACUUGUCAAUUCGCACUUUUAAAGUGNAUUNAGCUGUUAUCCCUCAAGUCACUUGUUCUUCUUUUAAAAAUUUUAGCUCUUAAGCCUCAUNAGUCUUUAAAAAUNAGNAAAGUUAUUUUUCUUACCGCCCCAGCAAAAUAUUUAUUCUCUUCCCUAAAAUAGUAAAUAUAAAGUUUUAUAGGGUCUUCUUGUCUUUAAGAUUUAUUUUAGCCUUCUUACUAAAAAGUCAACUUCAUUUUUUUUACCCUAAAAAAGUCUUUUCCAGUUUACCCCUUCAUUCUAG